GCUUGAACUGAUUUAUUGAAAGCCUUGGGCCUUGGAAAGGAGUCUUUGGAAGAAUAGCUCUUUUGAGUGGCGGUUCAUUUUUUUUCUCUUUCAGAAGUGCUGGUGGUGCCUGGACGGGAAAGACGUGUGGCAGCCGAGGAAGGGGGUCAAUUGCCACGUGACGGGGCCGAUUAACAAGUCGGCUUUGUGCGUCCGGCCGGGGACACCUGCAGCUCUUCCAGGCAGGCUCGCCCAGUAGGGGCGUUUGAAUGGGAAAACAGCUUCCAAAAGAUGGAGCAGAAGAGCAUAAAAGAAAAAAACGUGCAUUUGCGAGAUGAGGGAAACGUGGGGUUUUAUCUCUGAUUCUUCUUGAAGUCAGUCUUUUAUUGCCUAAUAUUCUCACCUGCAGGUCAGUGCUCAGCAGAUGAAUGAGAGAAGACUCAUUGCCAGGGUUGGAGCUGGGGUACUGAUCCAAAAGGACUUUGCUUUCCAGCAGACAGGUCUCUUGACAUCACAUGGCUAGUCUGUAAAAUAAUUGCUGAGGACCCUGUUGGGCCUAAAGUUCCAUAUCAUGAAAGAUCCCUGUGGUGCUUCCUCAACGUGAAAGAAAGAAAAGGGAAAGGGGAGGAAAGGAGGACAGGGAAGGAGGGAAGGACGGGGGGAAGGGAAGGGAAGAAGGGGAGAGAAAAAAAGAUGAAAGAAAAAAAGGAUGAAAAGAAAAACGUCUUCAUUACUAUCGAUAACUUUUCAACUUUGGAGCACGUCCAAUUUAAUCACGUAAAGAGCAUUAAAAUCCACAUCAGAGCCAUCACCAGGUGAGUGUUCUGCUUGCAUCCCACC
rnacentral:lncRNA from 1 species